rnacentral:rRNA from 1 species
UACUGAGGGUGCGAGCGUUAAUCGGAAUAACUGGGCGUAAAGGGCCCGCAGUCGGGCUUUUAAGUGAGAUGUGAAAUCCCCGAGCUUAACCUGGGAAUAGCAUUUCAGACUGGGAGUCUAGAGUACUUUAGGGAGGGGUAGAAUUCCACGUGUAGCGGUGAAAUGCGUAGAGAUGUGGAGGAAUACCGAAGGCGAAGGCAGCCCCUUGGGAAUGUACUGACGCUCAUGUGCGAAAGCGUGGGGAGCAAACAGG